AUGCUAUAAAAUGUUUCUCAGCAGUGAGGGCAUGGGUGCUAAGGUCCAUGUCCGAGAGGGAAAGAACCCAGACCAUCAGCUAAGGUCCCCAAAUAUAUGUUAAGUUGAACUAACGAGGUGAAACUGCUUAGACAGCUAGGAUGUUGGCUUGGAAGCAGCCAUUCAUUUAAAGAGUGCGUAACAGCUCACUAGUCGAGCGG
rnacentral:rRNA from 1 species